rnacentral:rRNA from 1 species
AGAGUUUGAUCCUGGCUCAGAAUCAACGCUGGCGGCGCGCCUAACACAUGCAAGUCGAACGAGAAGGCCCCUUCGGGGGCCGGACAGUGGCGAACGGGUGAGUAACACGUGGGUUACCUGCCCCUGAGUGGGGAAUAACCCUGGGAAACCGGGGCUAAUACCGCAUACGACCCUUCGGGGUGAAAGCUUUAUGCGCUCGGGGAGGGGCCCGCGGCCGAUUAGCUUGUUGGUGGGGUAAUGGCCUACCAAGGCUGCGAUCGAUAGCCGGCCUGAGAGGGCACACGGCCACACUGGCACUGAGACACGGGCCAGACUCCUACGGGAGGCAGCAGUGGGGAAUCUUGGACAAUGGGGGAAACCCUGAUCCAGCGACGCCGCGUGAUUGAUGAAGGCCUUCGGGUCGUAAAGAUCUUUCAGCGGGGAAUAUAAUGAAGGUACCCGCAGAAGCAGGAGCGGCUAACUACGUGCCAGCAGCCGCGGUAAUACGUAGGCUCCAAGCGUUGUUCGGAAUUACUGGGCGUAAAGCGAGUGUAGGCGGUUCGCCAAGUCGAUUGUGAAAUCUCCCGGCUCGACUGGGAGGGUGCGGUCGAUACUGGCGAGCUAGAGUACGGGAGAGGAAGGUAGAAUUCCUGGUGUAGCGGUGGAAUGCGUAGAUAUCUGGAGGAACACCGGUGGCGAAGGCGGCAUCCUGGACCGGUCUUGACGCUGAGGAGCGAAAGCCAGGGGAGCGAACGGGAUUAGAUACCCCGGUAGUCCUGGCCCUAAACGAUGAAUGCUUGGUGUGGCGGGUAUCGAUCCCUGCCGUGCCGGAGCUAACGCAUUAAGCAUUCCGCCUGGGGAGUACGGUCGCAAGGCUGAAACUCAAAGGAAUUGACGGGGGCCCGCACAAGCGGUGGAGCAUGUGGUUUAAUUCGAUGCAACGCGAAGAACCUUACCUGCCCUUGACAUCCUCGGAACCGUUCAGAGAUGAGCGGGUGCCUUCGGGAACCGAGAGACAGGUGCUGCAUGGCUGUCGUCAGCUCGUG